rnacentral:rRNA from 1 species
AUUGAACGCUGGCGGCAUGCUUUACACAUGCAAGUCGAACGGUAACAGGCCUUCGGGUGCUGACGAGUGGCGAACGGGUGAGUAAUGCAUCGGAACGUGCCCAGUCGUGGGGAUAACGCAGCGAAAGCUGUGCUAAUACCGCAUACGAUCUGUGGAUGAAAGCGGGGGACCUUUGGGCCUCGCGCGAUUGGAGCGGCCGAUGUCAGAUUAGGUAGUUGGUGGGGUAAAGGCUCACCAAGCCAACGAUCUGUAGCUGGUCUGAGAGGACGACCAGCCACACUGGGACUGAGACACGGCCCAGACUCCUACGGGAGGCAGCAGUGGGGAAUUUUGGACAAUGGGGGAAACCCUGAUCCAGCAAUGCCGCGUGCAGGAAGAAGGCCUUCGGGUUGUAAACUGCUUUUGUACGGAGCGAAAAGGCUUCCUCUAAUACAGGGGGCUCAUGACGGUACCGUAAGAAUAAGCACCGGCUAACUACGUGCCAGCCGCCGCGGUAAGAC